rnacentral:misc_RNA from 1 species
UAGAAGAGCACUGAAUGCAGAUUAGCUG